rnacentral:rRNA from 1 species
AUCUAAGUACCCCGAGGAAAAGAAAUCAACCGAGAUUCCCCCAGUAGCGGCGAGCGAACGGGGAGGAGCCCAGAGCCUGAAUCAGCAUGUGUGUUAGUGGAAGCGUCUGGAAAGGCGCGCGAUACAGGGUGACAGCCCCGUACACAAAAGCGCAUGUGCUGUGAGCUCGAUGAGUAGGGCGGGACACGUGGUAUCCUGUCUGAAUAUGGGGGGACCAUCCUCCAAGGCUAAAUACUCCUGACUGACCGAUAGUGAACCAGUACCGUGAGGGAAAGGCGAAAAGAACCCCGGCGAGGGGAGUGAAAAAGAACCUGAAACCGUGUACGUACAAGCAGUGGGAGCACCCUUCGGGGUGUGACUGCGUACCUUUUGUAUAAUGGGUCAGCGACUUAUAUUCUGUAGCAAGGUUAACCGUAUAGGGGAGCCGGAGGGAAACCGAGUCUUAAUUGGGCGUUAAGUUGCAGGGUAUAGACCCGAAACCCGGUGAUCUAGCCAUGGGCAGGUUGAAGGUUGGGUAACACUAACUGGAGGACCGAACCGACUAAUGUUGAAAAAUUAGCGGAUGACCUGUGGCUGGGGGUGAAAGGCCAAUCAAACCGGGAGAUAGCUGGUUCUCCCCGAAAGCUAUUUAGGUAGCGCCUCGUGAAUUCAUCUCCGGGGGUAGAGCACUGUUUCGGCUAGGGGGCCAUCCCGGCUUACCAACCCGAUGCAAACUGCGAAUACCGGAGAAUGUUAUCACGGGAGACACACGGCGGGUGCUAACGUCCGUCGUGAAGAGGGAAACAACCCAGACCGCCAGCUAAGGUCCCAAAGUCAUGGUUAAGUGGGAAACGAUGUGGGAAGGCCCAGACAGCCAGGAUGUUGGCUUAGAAGCAGCCAUCAUUUAAAGAAAGCGUAAUAGCUCACUGGUCGAGUCGGCCUGCGCGGAAGAUGUAACGGGGCUAAACCAUGCACCGAAGCUGCGGCAGCGAACGUAUCACCCAAGACAACUUUACGGAGUUGACGAUUGACGGAGCGAAGCGACGUCAAAGCGUUCAUUAAAGUCGAGUUGGCUUAGGGAUACGUUCGUUGGGUAGGGGAGCGUUCUGUAAGCCUGUGAAGGUGUGUCGUGAGGCAUGCUGGAGGUAUCAGAAGUGCGAAUGCUGACAUAAGUAACGAUAAAGCGGGUGAAAAGCCCGCUCGCCGGAAGACCAAGGGUUCCUGUCCAACGUUAAUCGGGGCAGGGUGAGUCGACCCCUAAGGCGAGGCCGAAAGGCGUAGUCGAUGGGAAACGGGUUAAUAUUCCCGUACUUGGUGUUACUGCGAAGGGGGGACGGAGAAGGCUAUGUUGGCCGGGCGACGGUUGUCCCGGUUUAAGCGUGUAGGUGUGUGUUCCAGGUAAAUCCGGUUCACUUUAACACUGAGGCGUGACGACGAGGCACUACGGUGCUGAAGCAACAAAUGCCCUGCUUCCAGGAAAAGCCUCUAAGCAUCAGGUAACAUCAAAUCGUACCCCAAACCGACACAGGUGGUCAGGUAGAGAAUACCAAGGCGCUUGAGAGAACUCGGGUGAAGGAACUAGGCAAAAUGGUGCCGUAACUUCGGGAGAAGGCACGCUGACACGUAGGUGAAGUGAUUUACUCAUGGAGCUGAAGUCAGUCGAAGAUACCAGCUGGCUGCAACUGUUUAUUAAAAACACAGCACUGUGCAAACACGAAAGUGGACGUAUACGGUGUGACGCCUGCCCGGUGCCGGAAGGUUAAUUGAUGGGGUCAGCGCAAGCGAAGCUCCUGAUCGAAGCCCCGGUAAACGGCGGCCGUAACUAUAACGGUCCUAAGGUAGCGAAAUUCCUUGUCGGGUAAGUUCCGACCUGCACGAAUGGCGUAAUGAUGGCCAGGCUGUCUCCACCCGAGACUCAGUGAAAUUGAACUCGCUGUGAAGAUGCAGUGUACCCGCGGCAAGACGGAAAGACCCCGUGAACCUUUACUAUAGCUUGACACUGAACAUUGAGCCUUGAUGUGUAGGAUAGGUGGGAGGCUUUGAAGCGUGGACGCCAGUCUGCGUGGAGCCGACCUUGAAAUACCACCCUUUAAUGUUUGAUGUUCUAACGUGGACCCGUGAUCCGGGUUGCGGACAGUGUCUGGUGGGUAGUUUGACUGGGGCGGUCUCCUCCUAAAGAGUAACGGAGGAGCACGAAGGUUGGCUAAUCCUGGUCGGACAUCAGGAGGUUAGUGCAAUGGCAUAAGCCAGCUUGACUGCGAGCGUGACGGCGCGAGCAGGUGCGAAAGCAGGUCAUAGUGAUCCGGUGGUUCUGAAUGGAAGGGCCAUCGCUCAACGGAUAAAAGGUACUCCGGGGAUAACAGGCUGAUACCGCCCAAGAGUUCAUAUCGACGGCGGUGUUUGGCACCUCGAUGUCGGCUCAUCACAUCCUGGGGCUGAAGUAGGUCCCAAGGGUAUGGCUGUUCGCCAUUUAAAGUGGUACGCGAGCUGGGUUUAGAACGUCGUGAGACAGUUCGGUCCCUAUCUGCCGUGGGCGCUGGAGAACUGAGGGGGGCUGCUCCUAGUACGAGAGGACCGGAGUGGACGCAUCACUGGUGUUCGGGUUGUCAUGCCAAUGGCACUGCCCGGUAGCUAAAUGCGGAAGAGAUAAGUGCUGAAAGCAUCUAAGCACGAAACUUGCCCCGA